rnacentral:misc_RNA from 1 species
GGUAGAUCCUACGUGUUUAUGUUUUGAAUUCUGAUUAAGACUUGGGCAAAAAUUUCCCCAUUCUAGAAUAUUUCAUGCAGGAGAGAAGACAAAGUUCAUCUAUAGCCCCUGCGCACUUCUUAAUAAAUAUUAAAUUAAUUGAGUUAACCAACAAAAUCAUCCUGAUGAAGCCAUCCUUCUGUCUCUUCAUCAUGCCAACAAGCUUGUUUUCGUUGCUCUUGUUGUGUAAUCUUAUAGCAUUUUCUAACUCUUUUUCUUCAUCUAC